AGAAGCCUCAUCUGGGAGAGGUGAGACUGCUGCUUUAUACCAGCGUUGGUGUGACAACAACCCCUGACCCCUGGGCCCAGCUCCUCCUCACAGACACACACCUGGGACUGGUGCAGGAGGAUACAGUGUUCCACCCCGCCCCCCUGCUGUCCCGCCAGGCCCAGUUCAAGGGGAUGACCCUCCGUUGCCUCUCCGACGUCCAAUGUGUGAUAGUCCGAGACAGGGUUGGGAGCUCGACCAGUGUGUGUGGAGAUGGAGCCGGGGAUGAAGGUGGGGCAACCAGGCUGGACAUCAUCCUGUCUCAGGACUGGAGGACCAGGAGAGAGAGGCCUAGAGGACACCCUGAAAGAGGUGCUGUUGCUGAAACUGAUGGAAGUGAGGUAGGGGGGGUAGCUGGAGCUAGUGUCCUGUCUGCUGCCUCUAAUUCAUGUCCUCCGCAGCAGCAGGCUGAAGUAUGGAAAUUACAUUUCAGCUGCUCCUCCGAGGCCGCCUGUCUGAUUAAUCACUUGUCAAACGUCUGAAUGGUCACUGAUCAAGGACUAGAGGACUGGACAGAACAUAAUGAACUACAGCUUAGACGGGUACCAGUUCUGUCCGGUCCUAACUCUCAUCGAGAGAACGGCAGGGUGUGUGUUUGCUCACUGAGUGGCAGUCAAGGGUCCAAUUAUCACAAGCAAACAAUGGAGAAUAUUGCUACCAUUAAACUAUUUAGGGCCAGUUUCCCGAACACAGACUAAGCCUAGUCAUGAACUAAACAGCAGGCUCAAAAGACAAUAUCCUUAUUCCUUAUAGUCCAGGGAACAGGCCCAUAGAGUAUAGUAAUACAUUGAUGUGUUUAAGUUUUGGUGAAUGUUUCCAUGCACAUAGUUCUAGGAAAUUUCUAAAUCAAAUAUGCCACUUACUUUCACAUUCAUUUAAAGAGACUCAGGGACAUGAUGUGGUAGUGGUCCAUAGUGGGUCAUUUCUGCAAAAACUAAGAGCAUUGAAGCACGAGGCUCAACUUCUCCUCUGUCUUUGUAGCUACCAGCGAACACAUGCGCAUGAGCAGAUAUUGUGUGACUGAGAGCGAAGUCCAGAAUCUCGCUCAUCUCAAUAUUUGUGGAGCUGCUUGUGGCCACACAAUUUCGCAGUCUACCUUUUUUAAGUCUUUCUGAACUGCACAAUAUUUAUUUGUUUAUCUUCUGUUCAACGCUGUGUUAGUCUGUUCAUGCUGUUUUUGUUCACACUGUGGAAGGAACACAGGACACUUGGUUCUACAGAAUGUAAGCUAUUUUAAGGGAAGAUGUGAAGGGCACAAAUAAUUGCAGGGUAAGCUUUUUAAGCAUAUUUGCACAUUUGACCACAAAACAAACCAGUGUUAAAUAUUAAAAUGUUUGUGUUUUAUGGACGUAUAAACAAUGAAUGUAUUUUAUACCAAAUAAAGUCAUACAAUUUAAAUAAAAUAUUCGGAAUAUUUGCCUGUCAUAAUUUGACACUCGUGUGUAAAUAUACAUGUAUUAAAAUGAUCAUGUUUACAAUGCUGCAGGUGGCAAGGCUUUGUU